ensembl:lncRNA
CUGAGUGUCAUACACUUGCUGUGAUGAGCCCUGCUUUGCUUCUCACUGCAGUGGAGGAAUCCAUGGCAGGGGAUUGAUAUUCCGAGCAUGCUGGCUCGGUACCAUGGACAAGACUGCAUUUUCCUCCAUGGAUAAUUCACAAACGCAGUGGCUCCCGUCACUUUUUUGACCUUGAAGCUUCUGAAUUUCUUGCCAAGAAUUGAAUUUGACAUGUGAAGAAAUCUGCAAGAUCCUAUCAGAAGAGACCUGAGCCAGAACCUGCGGCUUUUCACAGAAUCACAGAGGGGUUGGGGUUAGAUGGCCCUCUGGGUGCCUCGGGCCCAGCCCUGCUGCAGCAGGGACACCCAGAGCAGGGUGCCCAGCACUGCAUCUGGGGGCUUCCAGAGAGCUCCAAGGAGGUGAUCACACAUCCUCCAGGCUGCCUGUGCUCUGUCACCUGCACUGCACAGAAGUGCUCCUGGUGCUCAGAGGGAACCUCCUGUGCUCCAGUUUGUGCCCAUUGCCUCUUGUCCUGGCCCUGGGCACCACUGACAGUCUGGCGUUGCUCUCUCCGCACUCUCCUCUCAGGUAUUUAUGGACAUGGGAUGGGAUCCCCCAGAGCCUCCCGUUCUCCAGGCUGGGCAGUCUCAGCUCCCUUAGCACCGCCUCACAGGAGAAGCACGUUCCCAACACACUCCCCACUCGAGGAUUGGAAGGGAAGAGGGAUGAGGUCCAGCUCUGCCUCUUCCACAUGGUUGUUUCCACCUGAAGCAUCAUCUCCUGAGAUGUGGAGGGACUCCCAUUUGGGGAACGCAAGUGAAGGAUUCCUGGUUACUCUCAGUGUCACUGGCUCUAAAGAGGUUUUUCAGAAGACUGUUAACAGAGGCCUCAAAGCGGCCGCUGCACUUCUACUGGGGUUUUCUUUUAUGGAAAAGAGAAAGCUCUUCAAAAACUUCCCUUGAAUUGUAUAAUGUUGGGGAAUGAGCGUCAGAGACCUCGUACAAGUGAUGUGACACCGCCUUGCACAGGUCCUCCAGCACUGACUGCAGAUCACUACAUCUCCCAGACAGAAUCAUAG